UCAGAGAGAUGAACGUACACAGGGUUGUAAGCGAGAUAAUUGGCCAAAGCUUGAGCACGACUUCAAUUUACACUUUGGCCCCAAUGAAAUACGUUGACAACAUGGUGGUGUUAUUUGCUUGUACGGUCUUUAUGUACUUUGAGAAAAGGUUGUGCGGUGUUGUUAAGAGGUUUCAUUUUAGUCCGUUAUACUCG